CUCAGCUGUUGUUGAAAAUCUAACUGCAGGUUUUGGUAAAGAUAUAAAGGUGAAACUGGGAUAUAACCAUGGAUGUAUCAAAGAUGAAAGUUGAACCCUUUUCUGAAAAUGAACAGGAUGAUUUGUUGGAUAUGAAAAAUGAAGAUGAAACUCCUACAUUAUCUAGUAUAGAAGCUGAUUCCUUACAACAAAGAUCUUUACAUACCAUUUUGAAGUUUGGUGUAGUGAAAGAGGAACAAGAAGAGAACUGUGAUGAAGGAACAGAAAAAACUGAGGUAAUUUUUGUU